AGGAGGGUUUGGUUGAGCUGCGGCUGUUUGUCUGUUCGACACAGGCUUGGGCCCGACGGGGGAGACGGAGCCCCAGGACUGUUGAAGCCUGGAAGUCCCCUCCCCUCCCCCUUCCCCCCUUUGCCGCUUUGUGGCAUCCCCCUCCCUCCACCCUUUCCCACUCUGAAAAUCUAGCCAUGACUAGCAGAAGCACAGCCAGGCCCAACGGGCAACCCCAGGCCAGCAAAAUAUGCCAGUUCAAAUUGGUCCUGUUGGGUGAAUCUGCAGUGGGGAAGUCUAGCCUGGUAUUACGUUUUGUCAAAGGGCAGUUCCAUGAAUACCAGGAGAGUACCAUUGGAGCCGCCUUCCUCACCCAGUCUGUUUGCCUAGAUGACACAACAGUGAAGUUUGAGAUUUGGGACACAGCAGGGCAGGAACGAUACCAUAGCUUGGCCCCCAUGUACUACAGAGGUGCCCAAGCUGCAAUCGUGGUUUAUGAUAUUACUAAUCAGGAAACCUUCGCCCGAGCAAAGACAUGGGUAAAGGAGCUACAGCGACAGGCCAGUCCUAGCAUUGUUAUUGCCCUGGCGGGAAACAAAGCUGACCUUGCCAACAAACGCAUGGUGGAGUAUGAAGAGGCCCAGGCGUAUGCAGAUGACAACAGCUUAUUGUUUAUGGAGACCUCAGCCAAGACAGCUAUGAACGUGAAUGAUCUCUUCCUGGCAAUAGCUAAGAAGUUGCCAAAGAGUGAACCCCAGAAUCUGGGGGGUGCAGCAGGCCGAAGCCGAGGUGUGGAUCUCCAUGAGCAGUCCCAGCAGAACAAGAGCCAGUGUUGUAGCAACUGAGGGGGUAGCUAGCAGCAAACAAGUAUGGAGCUAGCACGAGAGCUAAGAAAUAACCUCCAUUCCCACCCCUCAGCACACAGCCCCUACGGUAACAGCACACUGAGCCCUGGCUCCCAAGGGCUGCCUCCUGACAGCUCCGUCAUGGCACUUUUUAACGCUUCAGCAACCAACACCAGGCAGCUGUUGCCACUGACCUCCUACCCCUACUUUGGGAUUUGGGGGUCAGAUCCCCCAGGACUUACCUUCCAAAACAAACUUUCUUCACUUUGUAUUAUAGGUGCAAGACAGUGACCUACUUAUCUUUCCUUCUCCUCCCCAUUUUUUCAGAAAACAUUUUUUUGUCUCCUGCCCCUUUUGCUUUAGGUCAAUCCCUGUUCUUGAACCCCUUUUCCUCCUCUCCCCAGGAUGGAGAAGGUGGUGAACCCAGAAACUGAGGAAGGAGGUGUCCAGUUCAGUCACAUUAAGGGCCUUGGGGGAGAGUAAGUCUCAGAGCAGGAGGGAGUAAGGAAAUUUCCUUUUCAGUUUUAUUUGAUUGGAAUUUCUCAUAUUUGUAAACACUGCAGUAUCCAUGAAUUCGACUUGUGGAAGGUGUUUCUAGGUAGAGUAAGAAUGGGAAGGCAAGCUCUCGGCACCAGGUGGAAGUUGUGUUGUUAGCUAACUGGGUGGAGGUGGAGACGCAGUGUCAUCUGUGGCUCUGGAGUUCUUCCAAAGCCUAGUUUCCCCUCACUCAGUCUCUUAGGUAGCUUCUCCCCCAUAGUGGGGGAGACUCUGGACCCCAGAGUCCUCCAAAGAAUCUUCACUGGUUGCCUGCAUCCUUGGCUCUGCUGUGAUCUAAUUGGAGGAGGGACCAGUUUCUGAUACCCAUCCUCUGAUUUAUACAUAUGCAUUUUUUUCUCUCUGGCCUUUAGAUGGCCUCAGCCCCAGCCACAAUAUUCCCCUGCAGUUUGCACUUUAAUUGAUGGUAGUUCAGUUGGGAUACUUAUUUUAUGGGGGUUUUGAUUGAUUUACCUGCCCUCUCACCAUUUUAAUUAAAUGGAAUCCAAGAUGUAUAUGAGGUUUUGCGGGGGGCUAUAGAGAACAGUACCACUGGCAGCUAUUCAAGCCCAAUCUCCACUGCUUGCUUCCUCCAACUCUGAUUCUUAACCUAUAUUCUUGCCAGCCUAGCUCUUGGGUAUAGGUUUGCCUUUCCUGGGGAAUUAACUGAAGCAACUGGAGAGUGGUCUCGGGAUAGCACAGGCUAUGGUAGGGGUGAAGAGGAGUCAGGCAAGAGGGAGGAGUUUUCUCUCCUUUCCCAGGGUUCAUGUUUAAUUUGAUCCGCCCAUUACCAUGUCUUUUCUACUUCCCUGUAAAUAGGUAUGAUCUUUAUUCCCAUUGUACAGUCUGUUCUACCCUCCCCCCACUCCCCACCCCACAUCAGGCCCUAUUUCUUUUCUCCUUUGUUAGUAUCUUCAGUUUAGUUCCUCCAUGCUUAUCCCCAUACUCAUCCCCCAUGCAACCAGUGGUUUAAUCCAUGUACCACUAGGGCUAGCACCACAGAGGCCUGUUUGUGGCCCCUUAUAAUAAAGUACCUGUUCCUGUGGACAGAGAAUGACUGGCACUGAAGGUCCCUCAACUGUCUCACAUCAACCAGACGAUGUCGAUCCUUUCUAAAUCUCCAGCCUCUCUUUACAUCCCUCAUCAGGUAUUUUAGGAUGUCUUUGGGAAGCCAUCAAGGCAGCAGAGAAUUUUAAACUCCUUCUUGUUCCAGCCUAGAGUUUUGGGAAAAUUGGGGGAAGUAAUAUAGGAAAGGCUUCAGUGAAGGAUUAGAACCUAAAAUUGGAACCUUUCUGCCCUUUUGGCUUUCAGACUUCCUUCUGUCCCAGAGCAGCUGAGAAAUCCAUGAGGCUGAGAUUCUGAGGGACCCAGCUUAGGUUCUCCCACUUAGGCCUCAAUUCCCUUCCAUUUCCAGGGGCAGCCUUAGUUCCUAUGGCCCUGAAACACACAUUUUUGCCUUCCUUCCCCAGUACCCCACUAGUCCCCAACAGCACCCAGUGCAUCCUUAUAAGUGGAAGAACUAGGAUGGCUCUCUUAAGUCUCUUAGAAAUGAAGUUCUUUCUCUGUGCAGCUUUCCCCAUGGAGCAGGAGUGAGGAUGUUUCAUUGCCUUGGGGCUAGGAAACCAUUUCUCCAGGCUUCUCCCCUCUCCUGCCCCCUUUAGGAACAGGAUUGGCCUUAGCUUCUGGGCCUAUCUGCUGCCUUCCUUUUACUUCCUACCAGCUCUCUGCUUUCCUUUGAGCUCUCUUGGGCUUGGGGAUCUUAGUUUUUAUUUCCCAGCUCUUCAUUUUUUUUCCUUCUGAUAAGUUUUUUUUUGGGGGGGAUCCCUUUUUUUUCCUCUAAGAAAGCAUUUGCCUUUUUUCCUCCUUCCUCUUCCAACAUAACAAUCGUGGUAACAGAAUGCGACUGCUGAUUUACCGAUGUAUUUAAUGAAAAUUUCUCCUGGAUCUGCGCUUGUUUCCGACUGUAGGUGAAGCCCUUUAGUCUAAGCGGAGGUGGGUGGGGGAGAAUGAUACAGAGGAAAGAUUAGGUGUGGUUGCAGGAGGAGUUUUAAAUCCCAAAGAAUUUGAGAGAAAGGAAAGAGGACCAGUGCCAAACAGACCUGGCAUUCCAGUCCUGUCCCUGCCAACUUACAGCUGUGGCCUUGAUAACUUACUUAGCUGCUCUCUGCCUCAGUUUUUUUCUGUAAAAUAAAGAGAAGUUGAGGUUUAAAGGUCAGUUAUGUACAGCAUGUGUGUGGCAUACAGGAGGUGAUACAGUUAUUAGGGAAGAAGUCUUAUCCAUCCCGGUGGUUUCCAGCAGACCCAACUGACUUCUCUGUAUCCUUGGACUG